UACGAAGGGGGCUAGCGUUGCUCGGAAUCACUGGGCGUAAAGCGCACGUAGGCGGACUCUUAAGUCAGGGGUGAAAUCCUGGAGCUCAACUCCAGAACUGCCUUUGAUACUGGGAGCCUUGGGUUCGGGAGAGGUGAGUGGAACUGCGAGUGUAGAGGUGAAAUUCGUAGAUAUUCGCAAGAACACCAGUGGCGAAGGCGGCUCACUGGCCCGAUACUGACGCUGAGGUGCGAAAGCGUGGGGAGCAAACAGG
rnacentral:rRNA from 1 species